AGGACAGGACCCAGGGCCUGUAAAACUCCUUGUUUGGGAGCCUGAGUCAGGCCAGAGCAUACACUGAAUUCCCUAGUCAGGUGAGGUCACUGGUUUUGCUCUGCAGAUGGGGGAAACCAUUGAGCUGUACUCUCUGUUUAAAUGCUACUGUAUGUAUGGCUGUUGAAUUGGCUACACAACUGCCCCUAUGCUUUGGUUAUUUCCCCUUGUUGGAUAAGCUGAAGGCUAUAUUCAGUGAUUAGUGAGUCUAUGGAUUAGAUUCCCUGCCCAAACACAGUGGGGAAGCAGCACUAAACCUAGUAAAGCUCUUUGUUGUCUUUUCUCAAGCCAACCUGCAUCCCAAGUUCCUGGCCAAACAAGGGUCACUGACUUUGCUCUGCAAACUAUUGGCUCUCCCUGUCUUUCUCUAGCCUUGAGAAAUGCUGAGUUGCACAGCUUCCAAGCGUUGUUACCAGUCCUUCUCGUCAGAUAGGACGAGAAGACACUCUCCACAGUGGGUGGGGUUGUGACUCCACUUCUUGCCUGGGCAUGGAAAAACCAGGCCCUAAGGACAACAAAAUUCCUUAUUUGAAAAUCUGAAGCAGGAAUAUGUGCACUCUGCCAAGUUCUCUGGUCAGAGUGAAUCUCUGACUUAGGUGAGCAGAUGAACAAAGCUGGUGGUUGGGAUUUCUACUUGGGCACUGCAGCCCAUACUCUCCAUUGAUCUUCACUGGUGAUAGAGAAAUGAAAUCAGCAACAUUUUCAACUUUCUAAUAAGUGUAUGCCUAUGUGAUCAGACAGAUUAUGUGGUGGUGUUGUAUCAAAUGGAAGUGAAAACAGUGAGACAUAUGUCCUUUAACUUUAUGAACAAAUUUUAUUGCCAAGUAAGCUUGUAACAACAUCUUAAAGUGUUCACAAUAUGCAGGAGUGAUGAGUUGAAAAACUGAAAUUGCUUCAUAUAUCAUCUUGCAGAGUAUGACAACUGGAAAGAGGCAUUGUGGACAGAAACUCCAUAAAUAACAGCUGCUCAUGCUUAAAACUGCAAGGGAAUGUUCCCAAUAUCUUCUUUUAUGAAAACAUUUAGCUUGUUUCAAGUUCUCAUUCUUCCCUGAAUUUUGUACUUCCUGAAUGUUUUUCAAGUCUGCUCCUCUAUCCAUACUAUUUUGCCUUUCUGUUCCAUUCUGAGAGGUAAUAAGACCAGGAGUCAAAAGAUGCCUCUGAUUUCCCUAAUGGGAAAACACCCCAAUGAUAAAUGUUGCACCAGGGUUAUGUCAUCCUUAAGUCAGUGUUUCCCAAACUUCUCUGAGGCAAAGAAUGACCAAAGCAUGUGUUAAAAGCACUAAUUUCCAAUCUGUACCUUUGAAGACUCUAAUACAAUAGACUUAGUGUGAGACCCAGGCAUCUUUCAUUUUAAGAAGUUACUAGGAUAUGUUUAUCUUCAGGAUAGUUUGGAAGAUGUUGAAUUAAAGUAGGUUUUCUCUUAUUGUGUUUCAAGAAUCACCUUUAAAGGAUCCCAACCACUGAAAGAGACUGUGAAGAUUGGGAGGGUACCUGGGGGGCUCAGUUGGUUAAGCCUCCAACUUUUGAUUUCGGCUCAGGUCAUGGUCUCAGGGUCAUGAUAUUGAGCCCAGCUUUGGGCUGCAUGCUGAGUGUGGAGCAUGCUUGAGAUUCUCUCUUUCCCUCUGCCCUUCCUCUCACCUCUUUCUUUGAGAGAGAGAGAGAGACUGUGAAGGUUGUAUUGUACCUAGCCAAGUAGCAGGUGCUGGAGCUGAAGUUCCAUCAGCCCUGCUGGUUAGGAUGUUCUUGCUGGCAGGAGUGUGCAGGACCUAAAGAAGGAGAGCUUUUAAAAUCAGUCUAUUCAAAGGAGACACUUUUUUUCUAAUUGAUAUCCCAUUGCACACAUGCUAGCACCCAGCUUAGAAUGCUGGUUUUAUAUACAGAUUUCUGGAUUGUUACUCCAAAUCUACUGAAAAAAGAUCUCCAUAUUGGGUUGUAUUUUAAACAAACUCCACCACUUUCCACCAUUGUGACUCUAAUAUGUAUAAAAUUUGGAGAACCACCAACAGCUUAUAUCCCAAUCCUUCAAAUGGUAAUCUCUUUGAUAGAUAUGGGUCUGCAUUCUUUUCAUCUCUCAUUUUCAGGCCUAACAUCAGAAGUUGCAGGUGGCACUGAACAGAAAUUAGAAAGGCUUCUGGGACUCUAGUGUGCUAACAGCACAACUUGAAAAAGCAGAGCUCAUUGGUCCUCAGGUCCUUGAGCCCAAAGGCACUUUAUCCAUUUCUAUAUCUUUGGAUCUGGAGCCUCAUUAAAUAAACACUGCACCCCUGAACUGUGACUCAUUUUGGACCUCAACCAACACCAUCACGACCUGCAUAGCUGCAUUAACCAAGCACUUCUGUGUCCCUCAUUUUCCUCUUAGUUUCCACAUGUUACUAGAUUCUAGUCCCCAUGUUCCCAUUGUACUGCAACUCAUUUCAAAGUUUGUCUCCAUUCUCUGUACAUCUUGUAAUGUCCCUGAACCCAACUUUCUCUGACAGCUUAUCUUGUUCUUGCCACGUUGCCUCCCAAUCACUGAUUCUCUCUGCAGCCCUUUCUCCUUAACCCACUCCCUUUUUUUUUUUAAAGAUUUUAUUUAUCCACUUAUGAGAGACACAGAGAGAGGCAGAGACAUAGGCAGUGGGAGAAGCAGGCUCCCCACUGGGAGCCCGAUGUGGGACUUGAUCCUUGGACCCCAGGAUCACGCCCUGAGUCAAAGGCAGAUGCUCAACCACUGGGCUCCCUAGGCGUCCCACCCCACUCUCUUAUCACCACCCAACUGGCUAUGAUCUACCCACAGGGAUGGGCUGAGCCCCUGGUAACCUUGGCAGAGGUAUGCUGCUUCAGGACAUGCUAGUUUCCUUCUUGUGAGACAGAACAAAUGGCUCCUUUGGAUACUCACAACCUAUUAAGCUGUGCAGGGGCCACUCAGGCUUGGAUAUCUGGGAACAGAUGGUAUUGACUUGAUUUUUACUUCUCUUCUCAUUUAGUUCUAUGACUUGGCCCUUUUUACAGUAAUGUGAGUCCAACACAUUUCACAAGGCAGUCUGAUUUAAAGCCUGGUGAAAUGGGACACAGGAGAAAGAGCAAAAUUGAGAGUACCACAAAACACUUGUGAUAGGCACUGAGUGAUGAAUCACAAAAUUCUACCCCUUAAACCAAUAUUACACUAUAUGUUAAUUAACUAGAAUUUAAAUAAACACUUCAAAAAAAACAACUUAGGCAACUUUCCCAGGACUUAUUUAUCUUACAAUGGGAAGUUUGUAUCUUUUGACCACAUUCACCCAAUUCCUAACCUCCUAACCCCCACCUCUACUAAUCACAAAUAUAAUCUCUUUUUCUUUGUGUGUGUGUUUUUUUAAGAUUCCACAUAUAAGCAAGAUAAUAUAGUAUUUGUCUACCUCUGACUUGUGUCACUUAGCAUAAUCCCUUGAGGUCUAUCUAUAGUUAACACUGCUAUAUAGGGUAUUUGAAAGUUGCUAAGAGAUUAGAUCCUAUAAUUUCCCAUCACAAGGAAAAUAAACUUUUUGUAACUAUAUGAGGUGAUGGAUUAUAUUAACUGAGUUUACUGUAGUAAUCAUUUCAUAAUACAUAUAUAUCACUAUGCUGUACACCUUAAACUUAUAAGUGCUAUGUGUCAAUUUUAUCUCAAUAAAA